rnacentral:lncRNA from 1 species
GAAAAAAUGAAGAUCAACAAGAUAGCAAAUCUACCAGCCAUAAAUAUCCUUUUAAUUCCUUUGACUCCACUUCUUCAAAAUAAAGGCAUGAAUCUGAAGAAUUAUUUUCAAGUUUAGAUUUUACUAUCCCUCAUUUAAAUUGUAUAAUCCACCUAAUGUCAAUAAUUAUACCUCUUCUACUUCUACACUCCCACUAGAAC